GACGAACGCUGGCGGCGUGCUUAACACAUGCAAGUCGAACGGAAAGGCCCUGCUUGCAGGGUGCUCGAGUGGCGAACGGGUGAGUAACACGUGGGUGAUCUGCCCCUUACUUUGGGAUAAGCCUGGGAAACUGGGUCUAAUACUGGAUAGGACCAUGCUGUAGGUGGUGUGGUGGAAAGAUUAGUUUCGGUAAGGGAUGAGCUCGCGGCCUAUCAGCUUGUUGGUGGGGUAAUGGCCUACCAAGGCGUCGACGGGUAGCCGGCCUGAGAGGGUGGACGGCCACAUUGGGACUGAGGUACGGCCCAGACUCCUAAGGGAGGCAGCAGUGGGGAAAAAUGGAAAAAGGGGGGAAGCCUGAUGGAGCGACGCCGCGUGGGGGAUGACGGGCUUCGGGUUGUAAACUCCUUUCAGCCAUGACGAAGCCCUUGUGGUGACGGUAGUGGUAGAAGAAGCACCGGCUAACUACGUG
rnacentral:rRNA from 1 species